rnacentral:rRNA from 1 species
UAGGGAAUAUUGGUCAAUGGACGCAAGUCUGAACCAGCCAUCCCGCGUGCAGGACGACGGCCCUAUGGGUUGUAAACUGCUUUUGUACAGGAAGAAUAAGCACUACGUGUAGUGUGAUGACGGUACUGUAAGAAUAAGGAUCGGCUAACUCCGUG